UUACUUUUGCAGGACAUACACUAAAAUUGGGACAAUACAGAGAAGAUUAGCAUAGUCUCUGCUCAAGGAUGAUACACAACUUAUGAAGCCCUUUAUAUUAAA
rnacentral:snRNA from 1 species